rnacentral:rRNA from 1 species
AUCUAGACUCGUACCUUUUGCAUCAUGAUUUAGCUAGAAAACCUCAAGCAAAGAGCACUUUAGUUUGAUUCCCCGAAACUACGUGAGCUACUCCAAGACAGCCUAACAACUAGGGCAAACCCGUCUCUGUGGCAAAAGAGUGGGAAGAUCUUUGAGUAGAGGUGACAGACCUAUCGAACCUAGUUAUAGCUGGUUGCCUGGGAAAUGAAUAGAAGUUCAGCCUCUCGGAUUCUCCCCUCACUCCACCCACCCCCUCCGACAACUAAAAGAAACCGAAAGAGUUAGUCGAAGGGGGUACAGCCCCUUUGACACAAGAUACAACUUUCCCAGAAGGCUAAAGAUCAUAUCCAGCACCAAGGUAAAAUGUUUAGGUGGGCCCAAAAGCAGCCACCCCAUAGAAUGCGUUAAAGCUCAGACAUGACUACCACCCCCAAUCCUGACAAUCUUAUCUUAACCCCCUAACCCUACCAGGCCAUUCCAUGCAGACAUGGAAGUGACCAUGCUAAUAUGAGUAAUAAGAGAGUAUAAACCUCUCUCCUUGCACAAGUGUA